ACAUAACCUAAUCCUAAUAUUUACAUUUGUAAAGAAUAUCCUGUUUGUUUUUAUUGUCGAUUGUGCAGCGAAAUUGUGAUAGCAAAUCAAAUAUAAAGUAGUUUAUCGCCUACAGAACUGAAUUAGUCCAUAGCAGUUAUCAGUUUUUCUUUCUUGGGAAGCUUAUACAUGUAACUUUUAUUGUUGUAAAUUGUGGGAGUAGGGCAGACAGGGAAAAGUCUUAUUUUGUACUGUUCCCAAGGCUCCCCAUGCAAUACAUUUAAAUGAAUUAUCCAAACAAAGCCGGGGACAAUGGAUAAAAGCCACAAGAAGAACAGAUAUAAGGGAACUAAAAUUAAAAUAUGAAAAGUAAACAUUUUAUAAGUGGAACAACCACCAGAUAUUUAAAAGGUAUAAAAAGAAGAAACUGCUGGAAUUUCAAAACAAAUGUGUUUGACUAGUAAAGAUUUGGAUAAAUAACAGGAGUUACUUUGGGCUAUAGCUACGUGCAGAUUUAUUUCCUUGUGGCUUCCUAUGUUAAUUCUUAUUAAUUAUACACUUAAAUAUGUUUUUAGUCUCAGGAAGAUUUUAUAUUUGAUUAUUUUUGAAUAAACAUUAUUAUUAUUAUUACCUUAAUUUCCAUUAAAUAAAUUUACUGUAAUCAAUAAAGUAAUCGUUUAAUUGUUAAUAAAUUAUCAAGUAUGAUUCCCAAA